CAUUCAGUAGCUCAGUGUUCACAGCACUGCACCAGAAUCGCAGAGUCGCUGUUUCGAGUCCUGUCAGAAAGC